CGUGGGUGGAUGAGUGGCGAACGGGUGAGUAACACGUGAGUAACCUGCCCCCUUCUUUGGGAUAACGCCCGGAAACGGGUGCUAAUACUGGAUAUUCACUGGCCUUCGCAUGGGGGUUGGUGGAAAGGUUUUUUCUGGUGGGGGAUGGGCUCGCGGCCUAUCAGCUUGUUGGUGGGGUGAUGGCCUACCAAGGCUUUGACGGGUAGCCGGCCUGAGAGGGUGACCGGUCACAUUGGGACUGAGAUACGGCCCAG
rnacentral:rRNA from 1 species